ACGCGAAACCGCCCCCGCCCUCUUCAUAAGAAGGGCGGGGUGCGGUCGUCCAGGCGUGGCGGCCUGGGCCUGACGAGCAGCCGUUU
rnacentral:hammerhead_ribozyme from 1 species